UGCCUGGUGGCUUGAAGGUCCAACUUCCUGGAAGAGCCCACUUGGUCACCUGAGGGAACAGUGGCAUUGGAACAGCAAUGGCAACUCAAAUAGCCAAGCAAGGUGGCACAGUUCGCCUGGAUUGUUGAGAUCAAGACCAGGCAGAAGGUGCCAAAGGGAAGGAGCCCAUGUCGGUGAGACACAUCGAGGGUGACUCGGGCACCAGGCCAAGCUAUGAACUGACCCAGUGGCUUUCCAAUAAAG
rnacentral:lncRNA from 1 species